CAAAGACGUGCAAGUCCCGCCACAGCCCAGGCAGGAAGUUCAUUGGCUAGAGGACUGGGAAAGAUCGGACGUUCAUUGGCCAGGAGAUAAGUCCCAGUCUUCCGUAAAUCACGCGGAAAUCGGUCUCUGUUAAAUUCGCUCCUGUGGAGGACGCAUGCGUGGGAUUCUCCACGCCUUAGUUUCUGGUUGCGUUUUAGGCAGAAACCGAUUCCCACCAGGCAUGAAACUGUCUGUCCGAAGCAUACACUCACAGGACUAGAGGACUUGCGAGAAUCCAUGUCAUGACCAGUAUGUGGAAAAAUGCUCAACUGCACGAGUACCAGCACAGCCCCAUCUGUCUCCCCCCUACCAGCUUCUGGGCCAAUUCUCUCCUGACCGUGGCCGAAGUCUGUCGGGACCUGCAUCAUCAUCCAGGACAGGACCAUAACUCUUGGAUGCUAUUACUUCUUUUUCUUUUUGGCAAGUUGAAGAAUACCAGGUAACUGUAAGAAUGAAGAAACUGUAACUUCUGUAUUCGUCUGCAUUGUCCCUCUCUUGGUCUGUAUCUGUCUCCUUUGGCUGCUUUCCCCCUUGUCCUCUUUAUAUUCUGGAUUACUAAGCCUUUAUUCACUUCACUUGUCUGUGAGUAUAAAAAGAAGAAAAAAUCUAGGUCUCUUUCUAUUAAGACAGAUGACUUUAUAAUACAUUUUAAACACCCUGAAAAUACACAGACUUUUUCUUAAGGUGUUUUGUUGUCGUACCUUGGAUUGGAGUGUUAAAUGAUAUGUGGAACCUGAUUUCUCAAGAAGAAUUUAUUCUAAAACAGCAGUGUAAUAAGUUUAAAAUACAGAGAAAAAAAAUCCAAUAUGUGGAUUGGAAAAAAAAUCCAUAGCUCUGGUUUAGGUCCCAUAUGUGUGGAUGUGUGACAUCCAUCAGUGGGAUAAACAGCACCUGGUGGCUGAUUUACAGAGUGGUAUUCCUCCAAAAAGGCAGCCAUUCACCCCCUGACAACUGAAUGAGUGAUGGCAGCUGUAUUCCAGAAGGCUCUAUUUGGGAAAGCAAAAUUUAGGGUAGGGUGGGAUCAACAUAAAAAGAUAAGGAGACGUAAGGAUCCCAUCUGUCUGGGUCUCUUGGGUUAGAGCCAGCCCCUAGAGGAUACAGCGUCUCCCUCUUCUUCUAGACUGGGGGAUAUUGAAGAUUUGCAUUGAGGCGAUCCAUACAUGCCACAGCUGCCCCUUGGUCAGUCCGUUUGGAUUAGUGAAUCAGGAUAAAAAUGGUUUCUGCUUUAAAAAGCAAACAACAAACAAACAAACAAACUGAUUCAUCAGCCUUCAUGUUUAACAAUUAGAACUACCACAGGCAAGUUCAGGAAUGGUAAGUCAGCAAUGCUAAGGCUUGACUGGUGCCCUGACAGUCCCACCUUUGCCACAAAACCUCCCAUUAUUCUGGAAGUAUUCUAUGGCUGCUCUUCCUGUACCACACAAGGCCCUACUCAUGAAAAGAAAGCACUAAAACCUGACUUUAAUUCGGAUGCACAGUGAAAGAGAAAAUGGGAGAGCCAUUCAAAGCAGUAGAUCCUGAAAUUUAACUCUUGAGCUUUAGCCUCAGGCUUCAUGAGCUCAAAUCUCAGUUCCAGCGGGAGAGGAAAUGUGGAGUCACUGCUUAGUGGGUACAGAGUUUCUGUUUGAGAUGGUGAAAGCAUUCUGGAAUACGUAAUGGGUGGUGAUCAUUACACAGCAGUAUGGAGUACUUAAUGCUACCAAAUUGUUACUUCGAAAUGGCUAAAAAGGUGAAUUUUACGUUACAUAUAUUUACCACAAUAAAAAAAAUGAAGGUAAGAAUUCCA
ensembl:lncRNA